GGCAGCAUGGGAUGAGGGUUUAUAACGCGGUCUUGAAAACCGUCGAUGGGCAACUAUCCUAGAGUUCGAAUCUCUACGCUUCCGCCA
rnacentral:tRNA from 1 species